UGUAAGGAUUUUCUAAAAAACAUUCCGGAAAGCAUUUUUUUAUCAAGGCUCUACCAUGAGUGGCUGUCCGUAAUGGAGAAAAGCAGCGACAGACAGAAAAUUGAAAAAAUUAAAAGGCUAUUAGACCAGCUACCAAGAGGAAACGUUGUGCUCUUAAGCUUGUGGAAUUUGUGAUAAAAAACUGCCGCAACAUCUUUGGAGGACACGUCACUGCCCUGUUUGGAGAGUCAUCCAGAAUAUAAAAUACUCAAGAAAAACCCUCAGAUACAUCUAGCAUUCCAGAGAGCAAUGCUUCCUCAUAUGA